UCCCGUGUGGCUCAGUUGGUAGAGCAUGGUGUUUGCAACGCCAGGUUUGUAGGUUCAAUUCCCAUGGGGG
rnacentral:tRNA from 1 species